rnacentral:rRNA from 1 species
UACAGAGGUCCCAAGCGUUGUUCGGAUUCAUUGGGCGUAAAGGGUGCGUAGGCGGCGCGGUAAGUCGGGUGUGAAAUCUCGGGGCUUAACUCCGAAACUGCAUUCGAUACUGCCGUGCUUGAGGACUGGAGAGGAGACUGGAAUUUACGGUGUAGCGGUGAAAUGCGUAGAUAUCGUAAGGAAGACCAGCGGCGAAGGCGGGUCUCUGGACAGUUCCUGACGCUGAGGCACGAAGGCCAGGGGAGCAAACGGG